rnacentral:rRNA from 1 species
CCCUUAGAUGUUCUGGGCCGCACGCGCGCUACACUGACAGAGCCAACGAGUUUUUCUCCUUGACCGAAAGGUCUGGGUAAUCUUGUUAAACUCUGUCGUGCUGGGGAUAGAGCAUUGCAAUUAUUGCUCUUCAACGAGGAAUGCCUAGUAAGCGCAAGUCAUCAGCUUGCGUUGAUUACGUCCCUGCCUUUUGUACACACCGCCCGUCGCUCCUACCGAUUGAGUGCUCAGGUGAAUAAUUCGGACUGCAGCAGUGUUUGGAUCCCGAACGCUGCAGCGGAAAGUUUAGUGAACCUUAUCACUUAGAGGAAGGAGAAGUCGUANCA